UGGAGGCAGCAGUGAGGAAUUUUCCGCAAUGGGCGAAAGCCUGACGGAGCAAUACCGCGUGAGGGAUGAAGGCCUAUGGGUUGUAAACCUCUUUUUUCAGGGAGGAAUAAAUGACGUGUACCUGAAGAAUAAGCAUCGGCCAACUCCGUGCCAGCAGCCGCGGUAAGACGGGGGAUGCAAGUGUUAUCCGGAAUCACUGGGCGUAAAGCGUCUGUAGGUGGUUAAAUAAGUCAACUGUUAAAUCUUGAGGCUUAACCUCAAAAUCGCAGUCGAAACUGUUUGACUAGAGUAUAGUAGGGGUAAAGGGAAUUUCCAGUGGAGCGGUGAAAUGCGUAGAUAUUGGAAAGAACACCGAUGGCGAAGGCACUUUACUGGGCUAUUACUAACACUGAGAGACGAAAGCUAGGGUAGCAAAUGGGAUUAGAUACCCUGGUUGG
rnacentral:rRNA from 1 species